rnacentral:ribozyme from 1 species
GCAGAGGGGCGCCCUUCGGGGCGUUAAUGCACUCGCCGGUCCCAAGUCCGG